CUACGGGUGGCACCAGUCGAGAAUCUUCCGCAAUGGACGAAAGUCUGACGGAGCGACGCCGCGUGCGGGAUGAAGGCCUUCGGGUUGUAAACCGCUGUCAGUGGGGAGGAAAUGCAUCAGGGUUCUCCCUGGUGUUUGACCGAUCCGCAGAGGAAGCGCAGGCUAAGUUCGUGCCAGCAGCCGCGGUAACACGAACUGCUCGAACGUUAUUCGGAAUCACUGGGCUUAAAGAGGUCGUAGGCGGCCUGUCAAGUCGGGUGUGAAAUCCCUCGGCUCAACCGAGGAAUUGCGCCUGAUACUGUUGGGCUUGAGGGGGAUAGGGGUGAGCGGAACUGAUGGUGGAGCGGUGAAAUGCGUUGAUAUCAUCAGGAACACCGGUGGCGAAGGCGGCUCACUGGAUCUCUUCUGACGCUGAGGAACGAAAGCUAGGGGAGCGAACGGGAUUAGAUACCCUUGUAGUC
rnacentral:rRNA from 1 species